CACAAUUUCACUUUAUUUUGCUGCAUGCUAAUAAGCCAAGCUGGUAUCCUUCACAUUCUAGGGCAUACUGUUUUGUGUUCCUAAAUAUCUCAUUUCUGGUUGAUUGAAUUGCCUUCAUUGCCUGUGAUUAUGUUACUGUGGCUGAUUAAUAGUUUGAUUGUGUAGAACCUUCUGCUACAUGCUAUGGAUGCAAAGUACAUGCUUUUUUUUCCCUUUAUGUUCUUAAUUUAGAUGUUUAGCCAUUAUUUCUUUCUUGAUCUCAAUCAGUCUUAACCGCAUUCGAUCCUCAAUUUUAUCAUAACCUAGCCCAUCUCAAAGAAUGGGUAAAUAGAUUUACUUGCAUGAAUGUAGUGCAGUUUUAGUAAUGUUAACUGGGAUUCUACAGUUUAUUCAGGUUUCUCUGAGGCUAUUUGAUGGGAAAAUUAAUUUGGGUAUAAUGAAAGGAUUUUUUAUAUUUGAAUUGGACUCAAAACUUUCCCCAAAAAUAGAGGAAAAUAACAAGAUUCUAACUUUUCUCCUAG
rnacentral:misc_RNA from 1 species